GUUGAAACACCGGAUCCCGUAUGAUUGCCGAAAUUAAGCAAAGUCGAGCCUGGUCAGUAUCUAGAUGAGUGACUACUUGGGAAUACAAGGUUUUGU